UUUUGGACAAUGGGCGAAAGCCUGAUCCAGCAAUGCCGCGUGCAGGAUGAAGGCCUUCGGGUUGUAAACUGCUUUUGUACGGAACGAAAAAGCUCCUUCUAAUACAGGGGGCCCAUGACGGUACCGUAAGAAUAAGCACCGGCUAACUACGUGCCAGCAGCCGCGGUAAUACGUAGGGUGCGAGCGUUAAUCGGAAUUACUGGGCGUAAAGCGUGCGCAGGCGGUUACGUAAGACAGAUGUGAAAUCCCCGGGCUCAACCUGGGAACUGCAUUUGUGACUGCAUGGCUAGAGUACGGUAGAGGGGGAUGGAAUUCCGCGUGUAGCAGUGAAAUGCGUAGAUAUGCGGAGGAACACCGAUGGCGAAGGCAAUCCCCUGGACCUGUACUGACGCUCAUGCACGAAA
rnacentral:rRNA from 1 species